CUUGAGAGGCAGAGACAGGUGGAUCUUUGAGUUCAAGGCUAACUUGCUCUACAGAGUGAGUUCCAGCGCUACACAAGAAAUCCUCUUACUAAAAGAGAAACAAGGCUGGAAGGAUAUACAUGGAAGUCUAUAAUCCCAGAAUUUGGAUUUGAAGGAGGAUUAUGUGUUCAAGACCAUCUCCAAUCUGAACUACAAUAAAAUAGACAAGUUCUCAAAAACAUCAACUAUUACAGACAGCUGAGAUGGCUCAGCAGGGAAAGGUACUUGCAGCCAAGCUUGACAAGCUGAGCUUAAAUCCUCAAGAUCCAAAAGAUGGAAGGAGAGAGCUGACUCCCACAGCACCCCGACACCCAUGUGCACAUUAUAGUUUGCAUAUGCCGCCCACCCUCAUGCAAAUUUGAUAAAUAAGAUGUAACUGUG